UGGGAAGAGCUCGGUCUCCGCAGCAGCUGGCAGGUGCCCGCAUGUUGCUCUGCAGGCACUGAGGGAUGGGGAGACGGGGAGGGGAGGCUCGAGCUAGAAAGAAACAGAAAACACAGAUAGACACAACUGAGGCCAAGCUUUGAAAGACAAACCAUAAAGGCUACAGACGGAUGUCUUAGCCAGGAGGCACGGGAAAGUAUGAAAGGAAGAAGCAAUUAGGAGUAUUUGUCAUAAGAAGCAUUAGGGAAGAGAACAACUUUGACAACUUAACCUGUGGCAUGUAGGCAACUUGCAGCUUGCUGUCACUGAAGCUGGGGGGCAAGAGCCACCAUUUUACAAAACCUCCAACAUUUCCAGUUCAGUCAAAGGCCUGUUUAAGUUACUGGAGAAUACAGAACCCCUGCACUCUGCCAUGCAGCACCUCCUCUCCUUCAUGCUUACUUUGGGAGAAAGUUGGGUGAAAAUACUCCAGGUUCUUACCUUGAGGAGAAGAGACUGAGCACAAAGCAUCCAGCAGCACACAAUGAGCACUGCCCUCCACACGCCACAGCCACAGGGAAGCAGUGGGACCCAGGAGUCUGCACUGCAAUCCAACCUUGGACAAAGAUAGAUAUGGAUACAAAUACAAAUAUAAAAAUAUAAAUACUGCUCUCCUCUUAACAGAUAAGUCAAACUCUAAGGCUGGAUGAGAGCACCUUUCUGCCCUCAGACCCUGCAGAAAGCUGGAGAGCCGAGCCGAGGGUGGUGGAAGAAUAUUUCAGUCAAUGAGAGGCACAGCUGCAAAUAUAAUCUCCUUGUAGCUGGAAACUGCUAGUUUAGAGGAGUAAUUUAAUUUUUAUUGAAGUUAAUUAAAGUCCAUUUGGAUUGGUCUAGGUGCAGAAGAUGACAACCUUCUUCACAGGAAAGAAGAAAACAAUCAUGGUACAUAAAGCUAAAUAGACAGCAUGGAAGCAAAAGACCAUCCCAAAUUUACAGACUCUUCCUAGUUUACAAUCUACUGAAGUUUAAAUGCCACAUUAAUAACCUCCUGAGCAGGGAGGCACUUGAAAUAUGUGCCUGAUUAGUGAAAUGGCACAUAAAAUUCAUUUUUCUAUGAAGACACGCAAAUAUUUUAUUUACUUAGGAGCAUUUACAAAUUAAGAUUUAGACAGAUAUUUUCUGUGUUUUGACUUACACUUAUUUCAACAAUAUCCAUCACUAGAAUAACUGUGCUGCCUGCAUGAACAUGAACUCAUUUGUAUGAACAUUGAGGAGCACAUUAUGUGGACAACAUUUUGAAGAAGAAAAAUACAUAAAUAAAUAAAUAUGUGAUUUUUUUUCCUCACAGAACAGAAAGGUUAAGGGAUCACUGACUGAGGCAAGAAAUGCUUUGGCAUUAGAGGAAAACCAUAGAUCAAGAGAAUAUUAUUUUUAACAGCAAAAUAAAAUCUCUUUUACAUUCAGUACUUCCUUUGUUUCAUUCAGGACAGUAGGCAUUAGAAAAGGGACACAGCCCCAGGAAUGUAGCAACCCAAACCCCAUUAAACAUGCAUGGGGAAGAUUUCCAGCCUGCUGUGCAGGGAGUUACAUGCCCAGGCUCUGUUAACAACAGUAAUUGUGCAUAUAAUUUCCUGUGCGUUGCUCUGAAAAUUCACCCUACAGUCUUUAGCUCCAUGUCAAGUAACUCAGCAGCCAUUUAUUAUAGUCUGAGGGUGGAAACCAGAACUUUGAAACGGCAGAAUGGCAGCGGGCGCCUUUGCUCCCCUCCCUUUCCCACACGUUUUCCAGAAUUCAUCAAUGAAGGGAAGGUCCAAGGACCUCAGACAAAGCAGGAGUGCAUCCCUGAAGGAUGCAGCAAAUCCUGUGUGGUGAUGGCUCCCUGUGCCUGGUCUGCGCUCUGCUGGUCUCCUGACGGUCCCUGUUGGGGCAGCAGAUGGCUGAUUGUGUGUAGACCUCUUUGGAUCGGGGUUUCACCUCUGGAAGCCUUGCAGAGGCCUGGGUGAGGAUGGCCCAAGGAGGAAAGGCACAGCUGCAGUGCAGUGUAGAGUUAAUAUGCACAGGAGCCCAGAAAGUGGGAGAGAUGUCAGCUGCCACAUGGCAGGAACAAAUAAACUCACCUAAAGGGACAGACUGAAGGUGCUUGAAUAGUGGGUUUGAAUUGGGCUAUUAAAACACGAGUGGCUGAUCCCAGAGAAGUGGCUGGUGCUGAGGUCCUCAAUUUCUGGACAGGCGAAUUGCUAAGAAAAGUUACCAGGACAAAAGGUACAAGUGAAGCUCUAAGAGGAAAAGUUUGCAGUAGGAAACCCAGCUGACAGUACCCUGAUACCAGACACUGCCAAGACAGCCACAAGACAUGCCAAGCAGCCACAGCUGCCCUGAAAGCUCAGAGUUUUAUGGGAUCAGACCAAAGAACAACUGAAAUAAAAACCUUCUCUCCUGGAAAAGCAGUAAAAUGCCAAGCUGCCUUCCCUGGCAGAGAAGCAAUUAAAAGUUUGGCUCUAUCUGCUCGCGGAAGAGUGAAAGCAGAAAGUAAAAUGGAAGCUACAUCUGAGGACACUGCAGAAUCAGGGCAAGUCAUGAAGGUAAUUUGCUGUAGGCCACUGGGCUCCAGAAGAUCUUACAGUGAAUUAUGUUGAAUAAGAUCACCCCCCCAUCUGGUCCUCUGCACUUAGAUACUAAUUAAAAAAACAUACAAACUUAUAAUCCACAGAAGUAUGUACAUACUCAAGCAUCAAAACCACCAUCCUGACUAUGAAACAAGAAUAUCACCUUCUCCACCACACUCCUCACCAAACUACCCCCUCAGCCCUCAGCACCAGGAGGAAAGGACAAGAGGAAAAAGGAGAACAAAACCAAGGUGUUCUUGGCACAGUGUGCCCACAAGGUUAGGCAGUGAUGCACUAAUGAAUAAGGUUCUCCAGGGAACAAUCCCACAUCAGUAGGUGGAAGGGCUAAUCUAAUAGUUUUCUUCCAUAUCUAAAUUCUAUAAAGGUGUAACUUGCAGCAGGGAGCAUGUGAUCACUCUUUGAAUAAGCAGUGGGAGGGGAAAGGAUAUGUUUAAUGGCCAGAAUUAGUUUCCUUACACUGGUUCCCUGAGCCAUUGUGCAGAAUAUGCAGCCUAAGAGUAGUGUGAGACUUUUUUUUUUGAUUUUGAAAUGGGUACACAUCAAAUACACCCAUCCCCCAGACACAAGAAAAUUCUCGCCACAUGCUUCUGUCCUCCAGACUUACACAGCAUUUUAUUGUAUGGAACACAUCAAAAGGAUUUGGUUCCCUUGUAAAAGUUUUACAGGAAAAUCAUUGAAGAGCAGUGUAACUUUUCCUUUUUUUUUUUUUUAAAUUCAAAACUAGAACCAAUAUUCUGGAUUCCCACACUUUGGUGUGGACUCAGAGAAAGCUGUGCUUUUCUGUACUGUAGAGCAGAAAUACAGACCCUGUAUAAUUAGAAUUGCAGUCAUGGCCUGUGGGAUCUAGUGAUUUGGACAUAUUUUAUUUAACCAGCUUAGUAAAAGGUAAUAUUCAGCAGCUGUGAUCUAUAGCAGAAUUACAAUUUUCAGGGUCAAGGAGGGAUUUUGAUAUUAGGAGGUUGGGCAGAAUUGCUGUAAAAUCUCAUGAGCUGUCGUUAAAAAUAAAUGAGAAAAUAGGUUAUCCAAGAGUCAUUGUAAGGGAAAAAUCAAUAGGCAGUGUCUAUUCACUUGGGCUGUCAAAAUCCUUGAAAUUUGAACAAAAGUUUCACGUUUAGUGUGCUGUAGGUUUUGAAAUGUAAGUGGUGAAUGCUCUGUGGGUACAAAUUCAUUGUGCUGUGCAUUCAAACAAGGAGAAACCCUUCUGAAGUUCUGGAGUUCUCUAUUAAGACAGUACAGUUCCUUCGUCACCAAGUCAGACAUGUAAAACAGUUGCCAGCAAAACUUCAGAAGCAAUUUUAGCUAACUGGUGACAAACUCUCUCCUGGAAAUACUGCAUUUCUUCCUCUCACCUUGCUCCUCUGGGGUUCCCUCCCACGUCUGGCUCCCAGCGGGUGCAGGGAGGGGCUGCAGCCCUGGAGCCCGGGCAACUUCGUGCGAGCGCACGCGCCUGGUGCGGAACCGCGACCGGCAGAGUUUGGGAGUGAGGAUUAUUGAUAAUUCGCAGCAGCACACAUAAUUGAUAUGGAAAGGGAGUAUCAUCCUCAUUCAGAAACAAUUAACUUCCCCCUCCAACACAGCAGUUCAAAGAAGACUCAGUCUUUUAAAUAUGAAUGAGCAGAAUUUCAAAAUAUGCAACUAUUAGCUGUUACAAUGUACACAUGGAGUAGGAUUUUUUUUUUUUUUUUUUUUUAAUAUUCUUGUGGCUACCAAAUUUAAGUGUGACGUGGACGCAGAUCUCCAGGAGCCAAAGUCGUGCAUGGACUCCAAUCACUUAGAAGUGGAGAGGGGAAAAUGAAAGCUUCACAUUGCUCUUGGAUUUUAUAAUUUUAUUUGAGCCACAGCCUGAUACAACCCAAAAGUCCAGUUAAUUCCUGGUUGAAGACAGACAACUGAGACUUUACAGAACAUACAAGAAUUAGCAGAAAACACUCAUUGCCAAUGGAUAUCCGAAAGGAAAACCUUUCCCCAAAGCUCAACAACGCUGAGGAAUUCAACAGACUCUUCUGCAGCAGCCCAAUGAAGAUUUGUACAUUGUUAAUUUGAUUGCAGAAGGUGCAUGUUAAAUAGAAAAGAACUGAGUUUGUCACUGUCAUCUGAAUCCAUUCAGUCAGUGCAACAAAGGUAUAUUUAACUAAAAUAUGAAACAGACUUGCUAACAUCGCAUUAUUUUCUCAGGCUUACAAAGUUAAAAAAAAAAAUUAAACUGAAUAUAAAUGACUUUGAGCAUUUUUUAUGACACCCACAGCCUAAGUGAUCCAGAUAAUGUAAUCUAACCAUCAUUAGAAACCAUGAAAUUACAAUUCCUCUGGGAUGGAUAUUUAUCUCUCUGUUACAUACAGAAAGGCGAUUAAUUAGUAGCUCUUUCAGUGUUUAACAUUACUGUGUACGGAGGCUGAUUAAAAUCUAACUAUAGAACGGCUAUGAUAGCUAACACGUAAUCUGGGGAAAGUUUAGCUGGGGCAUGAAGAAGCACCUUAAAAAGAAAACUUAAAAAAAUGUAUUCUUAGAAGUAGGCAGCUUCAAAGCCAAAACACAGACUUCCUUCUAAUUUCUAUUACACACAGCAAUCAUGACAAUUACUGAGAUUUCAAAAAACUCAAUAUUCAAAACAACUAAACCCACGUCAAAUAUUUUUGUAAAGUGGUACAAUUCACAGAAUACCUCUUUUUUUUUUUUUUUUUUUUUUUUUUUUGAGAAAA